CUACCAUGCAAGUCGAACGGACUAUUGUAGCAAUAUAAUAGUUAGUGGCGAACGGGUGAGUAAUAUAUAAGUAAUCUACCCUUCAGUCAGGGAUAACCUUUCGAAAGGAAGGCUAAUACCCGAUACGAUCCUUUUUACGAUGUUUAAGGGAUGAAAGAUUUAUUGCUGAAGGACGAGCUUAUAUCUGAUUAGCUAGUUGGUGAGGUAACGGCCCACCAAGGCGAUGAUCAGUAGCUGGUCUGAGAGGAUGGUCAGCCACACUGGGACUGAGACACGGCCCAGACUCCUACGGGAGGCAGCAGUGGGGAAUAUUGCGCAAUGGGCGAAAGCCUGACGCAGUGACGCCGCGUGAGUGACGACGUUCUUAGGAAUGUAAAACUCUGUCAGUGGGGACGAUUAUGACGGUACCCACAAAGGAAGCCCCGGCUAACUACGUGCCAGCAGCCGCGGUAAUACGUAGGGGGCGAGCGUUAUCCGGAUUUAUUGGGCAUAAAGAGCGUGUAGGCGGCAGUUUAAGUCAAUCGUAAAAUUCUUCGGCUCAACCGAAGUAUGCGAUUGAUACUGAAUUGCUAGAGAUUGGGAGAGGAAAGCGGAACUCACGGUGUAGCGGUGAAAUGCGUAGAUAUCGUGAGGAACACCAGUUGCGAAGGCGGCUUUCUGGACCAAAUCUGACGCUAAAGCGCGAAAGCGUGGGGAGCGAACGGGAUUAGAUACCCCGGUAGUCCACGCUGUAAACGGUGUUCACUAGGUGUGGGAGGUAUCGACCCCUUCCGUGCCACAGAUAAUUCGUUAAGUGAACCGCCUGGGAAGUACGACCGCAAGGUUAAAACUCAAAGGAAUUGAC
rnacentral:rRNA from 1 species